CCACCACCUCCAAUGUCCCAAGUUGUAAUCAGUGAGAUCAGUUUAGAGACCAGACUCCCUGACCCGCCCUCUCUGACUCCAACUCAGACUCUACUCUCCAUACCGAACAGGUCAGUCCUGACUCCAACCCGGACUCUCCUCUCCAUACCUAACAGGAGUGUGACCAAGGGCCUGUGUUCGUACUGCUGUAAACCGAUGGUGGCUGGAGCCAACAUGAUCCUGGAGGAUCUACAGAUCUACAGCCACUCAUCCUGCUUCAAGGUAAAGAAACACACCCGUCUAUUCAACAUAUAUCUAUGCGUGUCCCAAUUGUCUCUCCUAAGCUCUUUAAAAACUGCACUGCUUCAGACCAGGCCCAAUGGAUCCUAUAGGCUCUGGUCAAAAGUAGUGCACUAUAUCGGGAAUAGUGUGGCAUUUUCACACACC